GCUGUAGCCUCAGUCUUUUUA
rnacentral:miRNA from 1 species